rnacentral:rRNA from 1 species
GAUGAACGCUGGCGGCGUGCCUAAUACAUGCAAGUCGAGCGAACUUUUGGGAUCUUGCUCCCAAAAGUUAGCUGCGGACGGGUGAGUAACACGUGGGUAACCUACCUGUAAGACUGGGGUAACUUCGUGAAACCGGAGCUAAUACCGGAUAACAUUUAAGACCACAUGGUCUUCAAUUAAAAGGUGGCUUUUAGCUACCACUUACAGAUUGACCCGCGGCGAAUUAGCUAGUUGGUGAGGUAACGGCUCACCAAGACUACGAAGCGUAGACGACCUGAGAGGGUGAGAUGCCACGCUGGGACGGAGAGACGGCCCAGACCCCUAGGGGAGGCAGCAGGAGGGGAUCCUUCGGAAAGGAAGAAAGGCUGAAGAAGGAACGACGGGCGAGAGAAGGAGGCAGUCAGGUCGUAAAGGUCAGUUGUGAGGGAAGGACAAGUAGCGUUCGAAUAGGGCGUCACCUUGACGGUACCUAAAGAGAAAGCCACGGCUAACUACGUG